CGUAACCAUCUUCUCCGCCAGCCUAUCCCUUCUCCUCCGAUGCCAGGUAUCAUAACCAUCUUCUCCGCCAGCCUAUCCCUUCUCCUCCGAUGCCAGGUAUCAUAACCAUCUUCUCUGCCAGCCUAUCCCUUCUCCUCCGAUGCCAGGUAUCAUAACCAUCUUCUCCGCCAGCCUAUCCCUUCUCCUCCGAUGCCAGGUAUCAUAACCAUCUUCUCUGCCAGCCUAUCCCUUCUCCUCCGAUGCCAGGUAUCAUAACCAUCUUCUCCGCCAGCCUAUCCCUUCUCCUCCGAUGCCAGGUAUCAUAACCAUCUUCUCCGCCAGCCUAUCCCUUCUCCUCCGAUGCCAGGUAUCAUAACCA